rnacentral:RNase_P_RNA from 1 species
AAAGCAGACCGGUCUGCCGCUGUCCCCUGCGGGCAGAGGAAAGUCCGGGCAACACAGGGCAUCCCACUACCCAUAACGACGCGGCCGGUGACGGCCGGGGAGCGUAGAAGAAAACAACCGCCCGCAAGGGUAAGGGUGAGAAGGCGGGGCAAGAGCCCACCAGGCCUGUGGUGACACAGGUGCUGUGCGCACUGGAAGUUGCAAGUUCAUGUAUACCGGCGUCAGAGGGCUGCCCGCUCAAGCCGGAGGGUGGAACGAGCGUGGCUUUAAGGUCACGGAGCCUGCCGGUGACGGCAGGUCAAGAUUAAUGGCAGACACGGAGCAUGCUCCGUACAGAACCCGGCUUACAGGUUUGCUUUUUUU